AGAAAUAAGCGCACAAGGCCCGGCACCGCGCAAACGUGGAUGUGCACAAUUUCGAAGAUGCGCACAGAGAGGAGUUGAGCCUGCUUAGGCAGAUCGGAUAGCAUAAAUAAAUCUGCGCACGGCGCGCAAAACUGAAGAUGCGCAAAGUUGGAGGCGCGCACAAAGCGAAACCCGGAAAGGCACAAGGCUCAGCACAGUUGCGCUCGGUGGAGAGUGGAACUUAAGCGGGAGCACGUUAUUAUGCGGAAUGGUACAUGCGCAAAGCCGGUGUGCUGGCUGAUGGCUGAUGCUGGCUGCUGGCUGAUUCCUGAAUUGCGCGGAACCACUAGGCGCUGUGCUCC
rnacentral:lncRNA from 1 species